rnacentral:sRNA from 1 species
GCCAAGUCCCGAUGGUCCCGAGAUUUCGGGAGGCAUCCUUUUUUAAGGCAAUUUUUCUUUGACUUAAAAAAGAUAUAAUGGACAGUGGGACAAGUG